GGGAAUAUUGCACAAUGGGGGAAACCCUGAUGCAGCAACGCCGCGUGGGUGAAGGAGCGUUUCGGCGCGUAAAGCCCUGUCAGCGGGGAAGAAGAAAGACGGUACCCGACCAAGAAGCCCCGGCUAACUACGUGCCAGCAGCCGCGGUAAUACGUAGGGGGCGAGCGUUAUCCGGAAUUACUGGGUGUAAAGGGAGCGUAGACGGCGAGGUAAGCCUGAAGUGGAAGCCCGCGGCCCAACCGCGGAACUGCUUUGGGAACUGUUUUGCUGGAGUAUGGGAGGGGUAAGCGGAAUUCCUGGUGUAGCGGUGAAAUGCGUAGAUAUCAGGAGGAACACCGGUGGCGAAGGCGGCUUACUGGACCAUAACUGACGUUGAGGCUCGAAAGCGUGGGGAGCGAA
rnacentral:rRNA from 1 species